rnacentral:rRNA from 1 species
ACUCCUUCUAAAGCUAAAUAUCACCACGAGACCGAUAGCGAACAAGUACCGUGAGGGAAAGUUGAAAAGCACUCUGAAUAGAGAGUCAAAAAGUACGUGAAACUGCCUAGGGCUCAAGCCCGUUGAACUCGAUUAUCCGAGCGGAGACAUUCACCUGCGGCCGGCUGGGGACUUGCUCCUCGGUACGCCGCAGGGCACUUGUCGCCCGCGCACGAGAGGACAUUGCGAUCCAUUACGAAACAGCUUGCGCGUCCGCAAGGACGCAAGGUCGCCCGACAGUUGCCCCUUGGUGCUGGUAGCUUGCCCCACAGUAGCGACGCUCAGUUCUGAAGGCCUGUGCCGCGAGGUGGGGCUUACUGCACGUGGUGUUCUGCAGUCGGGCGCGUGAUGGAUUACAUGCGCACACCGGGUCGGCCUUCCCGCAUUGGGCCCCCGGACUGUCGAUCGGCAAUGAUAAAAUCGAGGUACCUUCGGGACCCGUCUUGAAACACGGACCAAGAAGUCUAUCUUGCGCGCGAGCCAAUGGUCGUCCCGCCGGAACACCAAAGGCGCAAAAAACAUAACUUGAGUUGUGCGGGAUUACGGGCGCGGCUCUCGGCGGCGCCCCUCCAUCCCCGGGUGUUGUAGCCGGCAUGCGGUGCCGAUCACCCGUGGGGCCUUAAAACCCUGCGGGCCGGUACCGUGCCACAACAUACCGUGAGCGUGCAGGAUGUGACCCGAAAGAUGGUGAACUAUGCCUGAUCAGGUUGAAGUCAGGGGAAACCCUGAUGGAGGACCGAAGCAGUUCUGACGU